rnacentral:sRNA from 1 species
CAACAAUGAAAGGAGGUGAUCCAGUGUCUCUUACCAAGCGCUGUCACCUCGCUGGGAUCGCCCGCUAAGCUUGUUUGAGCUUCGCAACGGGGCGCUCUCAGCCCUGGACCAGCGAGUACAAGGAUUGGGGCGCGACGGGAAAACCCGUCGCGCCU